rnacentral:rRNA from 1 species
GCCUCGCCUGUUUACCAAAAACAUCGCCUCUUGUCUGUUUUAAAAUAAGAGGUCCAGCCUGCCCAAGGACCAUGUGUUUAACGGCUGCGGUAUUCUGACCGUGCGAAGGUAGCGUGAUCACUUGUCUUUUAAAUAGAGACCCGUAUGAAUGGUAAAACGAGGGCUUAGCUGUCUCCUUUUUCAUGUCAAUGAAAUUGAUCUUCUCGUGCAAAAGCGGGAGUUAUAUCAUAAGACGAGAAGACCCUGUGAAGCUUUAGAUAAUGGGGCAGACCUGGCCAAUAAACCUUAAUAAGGGGUUGAGCUGUAUAAGUUCUGUCUUAAUGUCUUUGGUUGGGGCGACCACGGAGAGUCACGUAACCUCCGUGUGGACUGGGUGCAAGAGUGUUUUGUUCCUAAAGCCAAGAGCUGUUGCUCUAAUAAACAGAAUUUCUGACCUCCUAUGAUCCGGCAAUGCUGAUCAACGGACCGAGUUACUCCAGGGAUAACAGCGCCAUCCUCUUUCAGAGCCCUUAUCGACAAGGGGGUUUACGACCUCGAUGUUGGAUCAGGACAUCCUAAUGGUGUAGCCGCUAUUAAGGGUUCGUUUGUUCAACGAUUAAUAGUCCUACGUGAUCUGAGUUCAGACCGG